AUGUUAAAGAUCAAAAAAUAACCUGACCCCGACUAAGGUCUUUUACCCAACAAUACCCAUGAACAUUGACACAAAACUGUGUGAUAACUGUUGACAUGCCUUAAUGUUUUCGAAAUUCAGACAAUACUGGAUAAAUGGCUUCAAAAGCUUGGUAAAUUUCCUCACGGACUUUCGCACCAGUUAAAACAAUUUUACCAGAAACAAAAAUCAAUAGAACAACUUUUGGUUUUACCAUGCGAUAAAUCAAACCGGGAAACAACUCAGGCUCAUACUAAAAAAGAACAGUUAGAUACUUAUUCGUCUUUUAACAGCAACAACAUCUUUAAAGAUGAUGAACUUACAGAUGAGAAAGUACCGUGGGAGUAAGCCAAACCUUCCAAACGAAUUGGAAAUUUAACAUCGCAACUUCCUACAAUGUUCUGAAUCUUAAAAUCCGUGAACUUGGCAUUAAAACCGAGUUUUUGGAUGAUACGCGCAUACUUUCUAGACGCGAGCUUGGAGUCAUCCUCGGAUUUGCCACCCAAAACAACCAUUUUACCAGACGCGAAAAUCAAUGCAGUAGACUUGGGUUCACGGAUACGCAUAAUAACAGCGGCAAAACGCUAUGUUUGGUCAAUAACAGACCUCAAACAAAAUUAAAAGGGUUUAACGUACUUUUGGGUUGUAUUCUGCAUUACGUGCAUGUAGCGCAAUAGUUUUGAGAUCAAGACGACAGCUAUUUUAAGAGGAUUAUUAGUAAUAAGGUCUAAUUUGCUAACUCAAUGGAAAAUUUUGUUAACGAGACGUAUCAUCCCCUGCGGUCAUUGCCUUCGGAAAUCUCGUGACAUGGUAGUUAAAUAUAAACAAAACAAAAAUCAAAUAACCAUUAACAAUCGCUCUUACCCAAACGCCAUGUCUAUACAAAAGAUUUCCGAUGAACUCACCGCGACGGCAAUACGCCUUGUUCCCUAUCCAAAGAGGCACGACUUACUCUAAGUUUACAGUAGCAACAAUAUUUUGAAGGGUUGGAACAAUGCCAGAUACACCUUCAUUUUUUGAAACUUCUGCAUCCCCGGAAUCUGCCGUCUCAUUUGUAGCCUCGUUAUUGGCAUUGGGGAGAACAGGGAACGUUAAAGAAGAGUUAUUCAUAAAGGCACUCGCUUGCGAGGCCGUGGUGGGUAAAGCGAAAUCCAUUGCAGUAAAUCAAUUAUUAUUUUACGCUACUCGUAGAAUUGCGUUAUCCCACCCCUAAUGGAAAGCCUGCAGGUGACGGCUGCUGCACUUAUUUAUAUAUACCCGAUCUUUCAGGGUUAGGGUUUCUGAGUGUUGUGAAACCGCGGC